rnacentral:rRNA from 1 species
AACGAACGCUGGCGGCAUGCCUAACACAUGCAAGUCGAACGAGGCCUUCGGGUCUAUUGGCGCACGUGUGCUUAACGCGUGGGAACCUGCCCUUAGGUUCGGAAUAACUCCCCGAAAGGGGUGCUAAUACCGGAUAAUCUCUUCGGACCAAAGAUUUAUCGCCGUUGGAUGGGCCCUCGUUGGAUUAGCUAGUUGGUAGUGUAAAAGCCUACCAAGGCGACGAUCCAUAGCUGGUCUGGGAGGAUGAUCAGGCACACUGGGAAUGAGACACGGCCCAGAACGCUACGGGGGGGAGGAGAGGGGAACACUGGAGAAGGGGCGAAAGCCUGAUACAGCAAUGCCGCGUGAGUGAUGAAGGCCUUAGGGUUGUAAAGCUCUUUUACCCGGGAUGAUAAUGACAGUACCGGGAGAAUAAGCUCCGGCUAACUACGUG